rnacentral:lncRNA from 1 species
GAAGGGGACAAAAGCGUGAAGACAACACCUAACGAUGGGCCAGCUCAGUAUGGGAGGCAUGCAAGGAUGACAGCACGAUCGCUGACACGCGACAUAGAUGAUAUAAGAGAAGAACUCGCUCUGACGAGCUGCUGCUUUUAUCACACACACCAGCUGGUCGCCAAAUCCAGAUAAGCUUCGCCGCUAAAUCUUGCCAGAAACUUGCAUUAUAAAUUAAUUCUAAGACUGGUACCAAAGUACACGAGUGACUGCAGCCCACCCGCCCACCCUGGCGGCUUAUCUUGCACCACCUGCUUCACUCUGUUUGUUCAACUUCAUAAAUUAUCUCUUCUGUGUAUUUAUCCAAAGUGCUCUUUAUUUUCCUUAUCUAGACAAUUGGUCGCUUGUUGGCAGCCGCCCACGUGACCCAGCAGGUCAAAGUCAUUUGCAAUCACUGUUGAUAAAAAAAAAAAAA